GAUGAAGAACGCAGCGAAAUGCGAUAAGUAAUGUGAAUUGCAGAAUUCAGUGAAUCAUCGAAUCUUUGAACGCACAUUGCGCCCGCCAGUAUUCUGGCGGGCAUGCCUGUUCGAGCGUCAUUUCAACCAUCAAGCCCUGUGCUUGUGUUGGGGGCCUGCGGCUGCCGCAGCCCCCUAAAAGCAGUGGCGGGCUCGCUGUCAUUCCGAGCGCAGUAACUUAUCUCGCUUUGGUCGUGGCGGUGGGCACCUGCCGUAAAACACUCUUUUUCACAAGGUUGACCUCGGAUCAGGUAGGAAUACCCGCUGAACUUAAGCAUAUCAAUAAGCGGAGGA
rnacentral:misc_RNA from 1 species